CCAGGGAUGUCACGUAGGCAGGAGAAAACGGAGGAUAAAAGAGGGUCCAACAACCACGGCGAGGUAGAGAGGCUUAUCUCUCACCACGACAGACUUGAGGGGUUCUCUGCCAUCUGAUCCUUCACCACAACACAGAGGCUGAUCUCUCAUGAUCUCUCACCACGACACGAGCUUCCUGCCUUCAGAUCCUUCUCUACGGACCGUUUGCUGACGGACUUCCCUGGGCCUGCUACCUGAGACCUGCUGCUUCCUCCCUGACCUGCACCCUCUCGUUGCCCAAGACCGGCCUCGCUGCUCCUGCCCUUCGGCCUCGGACCGUCGGAACGUCGUGCAACGGGACUGCUGCUGGAUCCUGGUGGUGAC
ensembl:lncRNA